UACGUAGGGUGCGAGCGUUGUCCGGAAUUAUUGGGCGUAAAGAGCUCGUAGGCGGUUUGUUGCGUCUAUCGUGAAAACCUGCAGCUUAACUGUGGGCGUGCGGUCGAUACGGGCAUCACUGGAGUUCGGCAGGGGAGACUGGAAUUCCUGGUGUAGCGGUGAAAUGCGCAGAUAUCAGGAGGAACACCGGUGGCGAAGGCGGGUCUCUGGGCCGAUACUGACGCUGAGGAGCGAAAGCGUGGGGAGCAAACAGG
rnacentral:rRNA from 1 species